rnacentral:lncRNA from 10 species
UGGAGCUUAGGUGGUAAAGCUGGCUGUCUCGCCACUCACCUCCUGCUAUGCAGCCUGGUUCCUAGCAGGCUACUUACAAGUCCACACCCCUAUUAUAAAGUAUAAUUGAGCAGCAACAUCAUGGAAUCAUGGAACAAUACUUGACUUUCUAGGGGGAAGUGUGAAGGAGUGAAGAGGACAGACAGGGUCUUGCUGGAGUGCAGUCCCAGGCUGAAGAGAACCUCUCACCUCAGCUCCCAGAAUUGCUAGGACUACAGCCAUUUCCAGCUUCUGGUAAUCAUUCUAUUCUCUACUUCAAUGAGAUCAACUUCUGUGGCUCCCACAUAUGCCUGAGAACAGGUAAUAUUUAUCUUUUU